rnacentral:tRNA from 1 species
GGGGGUGUGACUCAGUGGGUAGAGUACUUGUCUAUUAUGCAGGAAGCCCUGGGGUCCACCCCCA